AAUAGAUACCCGGUAGUCCACGCCGUAAACGAUGAGUGCUAAGUGUUAGGGGUUUCCGCCCCUUAGUGCUGCAGCUAACGCAUUAAGCACUCCGCCUGGGGAGUACGGUCGCAAGACUGAAACUCAAAGGAAUUGACGGGGGCCCGCACAAGCGGUGGAGCAUGUGGUUUAAUUCGAAGCAACGCGAAGAACCUUACCAGGUCUUGACAUCCCAUUGACCACUAUGGAGACAUAGUUUUCCCUUCGGGGACAACGGUGACAGGUGGUGCAUGGUUGUCGUCAGCUCGUGUCGUGAGAUGUUGGGUUAAGUCCCGCAACGAGCGCAACCCUUGUUCUUAGUUGCCAUCAUUUAGUUGGGCACUCUAAGGAGACUGCCGGUGACAAACCGGAGGAAGGUGGGGAUGACGUCAAAUCAUCAUGCCCCUUAUGACCUGGGCUACACACGUGCUACAAUGGACGGUACAAACGGUUGCCAACCCGCGAGGGGGAGCUAAUCCGAUAAAACCGUUCUCAGUUCGGAUUGUAGGCUGCAACUCGCCUACAUGAAGCC
rnacentral:rRNA from 1 species